CACUGCCAGAUCAGAGAUUCGAUGACAGUCCGCAUGACUGGAAUCGUCAAUCCUACGAGCAGCAUAGAUUUGUCAAUGGACGAAGUCGACCAGCAAGUAGCUGCAGGAUGACGGCGUAUGAUGUAACUGCUUUAUACAGGAUAAGUGAGGACGUGUCGUUGUAGUACUGUAUGAUAGACGCUAUCGUGCAGCAGCGCGUAUACGAAGUCCGGCGUAUCCGGAUUUAUUGGGUUUAAAGGAGCGCAGGCUGAUGAUAAGCGUGACGUGAAAUGUAGCCGCUCAACGGCUGAACUGCGUCGCGAACUGGUUAUCUUGAGUGAGUUCGAUGUUGGCGGAAUUCGUGGUGUAGCGGUGAAAUGCUUAGAUAUCACGAAGAACUCCGAUUGCGAAGGCAGCCAACAAGGCCUUUACUGACGCUAAAGCUCGAAGGUGCGGGUAUCGAACAGGAUUAGAUACCCUGGUAGUCCGCACGGUAAACGAUGGAUGCCCGCUGUUUGCGAUAUACUGUGAGCGGCCAAGAGAAAUCGUUAAGCAUCCCACCUGGGGAGUACGCCGGCAACGGUGAAACUCAAAGGAAUUGACGGGGGCCCGCACAAGCGGAGGAACAUGUGGUUUAAUUCGAUGAUACGCGAGGAACCUUACCCGGGCUUGAACUGCAGGAGAACGAUACAGAGAUGUUGAGGCCCUUCGGGGCUCCUGUGGAGGUGCUGCAUGGUUGUCGUCAGCUCGUGCCGUGAGGUGUCGGCUUAAGUGCCAUAACGAGCGCAACCCUUUUCAUUAGUUGCCAUCAGGUAAUGCUGGGCACUCUGGUGAUACUGCCACCGUAAGGUGUGAGGAAGGUGGGGAUGACGUCAAAUCAGCACGGCCCUUACGUCCGGGGCUACACACGUGUUACAAUGGGGGGUACAGAAGGCGGGAUCAAUGCAAAUUGGUUCAAAUCUUAAAAGCCCUCCUCAGUUCGGAUUGGGGUCUGCAACCCGACCCCAUGAAGCUGGAUUCGCUAGUAAUCGCGCAUCAGCCAUGGCGCGGUGAAUACGUUCCCGGGCCUUGUACACACCGCCCGUCAAGCCAUGAAAGCCGGGGGCGCUUGAAGUCCGUGACCGCAAGGAUCGGCCUAGAGCGAAACUGGUAAUUGGGGCUAAGUCGUAACAAGGUAAAUCACUGCCGUCGAACCCUC
rnacentral:rRNA from 1 species